rnacentral:lncRNA from 1 species
UUGCCCAGAACCAUUAUCUCCAAAACACAAAUCCUCAAUUUUCCUCUCUUUCUUCCUUAAAUCUUUCAACAGAAAUGGAUAAGAACGAAUUCAUCUCUCUUAGAGAUCAUCCAUUCCCUUGUAGAUUCCGUUAUAUAUCAGAAGAUAACAUUCAACAAACAUCGAUUUAUACUGCCAAAAAUCAUCAACCAAACCAUAAAAUUGAUGAAAUAGAAAGAGUUGGCAAUAAUGAAAGAAAACAUUUCAGCCAUCGACAUAACUUGUUAAUGUACUCGUUACGAGCAUCAGAUUUUGUUCACUGCUAUUUUUGCGAGACAAUAAUUUCAGGCAUGGCGUAUGGUUGCAAACGUUGUAGAUACUUUCUACACGAAUCCUGUUCUGAAUUCCCACAACUUAUUGAACAUUUAGCUCACCCUGGCCAUCAAUUAACCCUCAAGUACACUCCUACAGUUGAUAGUGGCUAUAUUUGCAAAGCAUGUCACGUUGGUGACAAUCCUGCUUUGUUAUUUAACUUUCAUUACUCUUGUAAUCUCUGUGAUUUUGCUAUUCAUAUGGGGUGUGCUUCUAUGCCUUGUAAAGUAUUUCACAAGGAGACUGGUCUCUCCCUUUUCUACUCAAAUCCUUUGAAAAAUGAAGCUGGACCACUCCUUUGUGAUAUUUGUAACCACUCAAUAAACAAGACCAAUUCUUGGGUAUAUUAUGACCAUAGUCAUAAUUUCAUAACCCAUUUUGGUUGUGCUGCUGAUUCUAUAUAUGGAAAAGGGAAAGAUGAUAAAUCUUAUAUUAUGGGUGUGAAAACUGGAUUGACAAAUCUUGAUGGAGAUGACACUUCUAUUGUUCACUAUCAAAAAUAUGAUGAUGGAAAAAAAGAUGAACGAUUCUUUCACAGACAUGGUUUGCAUUUAUUGGACCGUUCACAGGAUAAUAUAGUCAAGAAUCGUAAAUGUGGGAUAUGUGGAUUAGACCUAAGUACAGACAAGAAAAAAGGAUGUUCUACUUGUGAUUAUAUAAUUCACGAGAGAUGUUCUCAAUUGCCUGAGAAAAUUCAACAUCCAUUUCAUCCGCAUACACUUAUACUUGUUCCAAAAAAAGAUGGAGUUGAAGUUCAGUGUAAUGGUUGUCGUCAAUCGAAUGGUUGUCACACAAAUUACACAGUUCUUUAUCAGUGCAAGAUUUGUGAUUUUCAACUUCAUCCAUCUUGUGCAGCUUGUCCAAGGAGAUUGAAAAAGCUUGAUUUGACUUUAUGCUAUGAAUUUCCUUAUAAGAAUGAGGUCUCAAAAUUGUUUUGCAGCUAUUGCUCAAAAGUUAUCAACAAGGAUCAGUGGCUGUAUUAUGGAAGAAGUAAGGACGAGAGGAGACAUAUUACUUGUCAACUUGCUGUUGGUGUUUCAAAUUGCUAUGUCACAUUACGCGAUUUAGAGGUUGAAUAAUCAAUAUACUAGAGGUCAUCUUUCCUA